CAGCAGCCGCGGUAAUACAGAGGAUGCAAGCGUUGUCCGGAAUGAUUGGGCGUAAAGCGUCUGUAGGUGGCGUUUCAAGUCCGCCGUCAAAUCCCAGGGCUCAACCCUGGACAGGCGGUGGAAACUACCAAGCUGGAGUACGGUAGGGGCAGAGGGAAUUUCCGGUGGAGCGGCGAAAUGCGUUGAGAUCGAAAAGAACACCAACGGUGAAAACACUCUGCUGGGCCGACACUGACACUGAAGACGAAGGCUAGGGGAGAAAAUGGGAUUAGAUACCCCAGUAGUCCCUGUCUCUUAUACC
rnacentral:rRNA from 1 species